GGAUGCGAUCAUACCAGCACUAAUGCACCGGAUCCCAUCAGAACUACGAAGGUAAGCGUGCUUGGGCGAGAGUAGUACUAGGAUGGGUGACCCCCUGGGAAGUCCUCGUGCUGCAUCCC
rfam:Ipomoea nil DNA, scaffold: scaffold3084, cultivar: Tokyo-kokei standard.